AGCGCGGGGCAACCUGGCGGCGAGCGGCGAACGGGUGAGUAAUGCAUCGGAACAUGUCCAUGUCGUGGGGGAUAGCCCGGCGAAAGCCGGAUUAAUACCGCAUACGCCCGAGAGGGGAAAGUGGGGGACCGCAAGGCCUCACGCGAUUGGGUUGGCCGAUGUCCGAUUAGCUAGUUGGCGGGGUAAGAGCCCACCAAGGCGAUGAUCGGUAGCUGGUCUGAGAGGAUGAUCGGCCACACUGGGACUGAGACACGGCCCAGACUCCUACGGGAGGCAGCAGUGGGGAAUUUUGGACAAUGGGGGCAACCCUGAUCCAGCCAUUCCGCGUGAGUGAAGAAGGCCUUCGGGUUGUAAAGCUCUUUUGUCCGGAACGAAACGGUUGGCGUGAAUAUCGCCGACUACUGACGGUACCGGAAGAAUAAGCACCGACUAACUACGUGCCAGCAGCCGCGGUAAUACGUAGGGUGCGAGCGUUAAUCGGAAUUACUGGGCGUAAAGCGUGCGCAGGCGGUUUUGUAAGCCAGAUGUGAAAUCCCCGGGCUCAACCUGGGAAUGGCAUCUGGGACUGCAAGGCUGGAGUUUGGCAGAGGAGACUGGAAUUCCCGGUGUAGCAGUGAAAUGCGUAGAUAUCGGGAGGAAUACCGAUGGCGAAGGCAGGUCUCUGGGCUAUAACUGACGCUCAUGCACGAAAGCGUGGGGAGCAAACAGGAUUAGAUACCCUGGUAGUCCACGCCCUAAACGAUGUCGACUGGUUGUUGGGGGUUUGACACUCU
rnacentral:rRNA from 1 species